rnacentral:rRNA from 1 species
AGAGUUUGAUCCUGGCUCAGGACGAACGCUGGCGGCGUGCCUAAAACAUGCAAGUCGAACGAGGCCUUCGGGUCUAGUGGCGAACGGCGGAGUAAGACAUAAGUAACGUGCCGCAAUGUCCGGGACAAACGCAGAAAUGCUAUAAAUACCGGAUGUGGCCGAGGAGAGGCAUCUCUCUUCGAUUAAACGGUUUUUCGCUUUGGGAGCGGCUUAUGACACAUCAGGUAGUUGGUGGGGUAACGGCCUACCAAGCCGACGACGUGUAGGGGGUCUGAGAGGAUGAUCCCCCCGAGUGGGACUGAGACACGGCCCACACACCUACGGGUGGCAGCAGUUGGGAAUCUUGCACAAUGGGGGCAACCCUGAUGCAGCGACGCCGCGUGGAGGAUGAAGGAUCUAGGUCUGUAAACUCCUUUUUCACGGAAAGACUUAGGACGGUACCGUGAGAAUAAGCUCCGGCUAACUACGUGCCAGCAGCCGCGGUAAGACGUAGGGAGCAAGCGUUGUCCGGAUUUACUGGGCGUAAAGGGCGCGUAGGCGGUCUGUUAAGUGUGAAGUGAAAUCUCCAGGGCUCAACCCGGAAACCGCUUCGCAUACUGGCAGACUGGAGGAAGGCAGAGGUAACUGGAAUUCCUGGUGUAGCGGUGAAAUGCGUUGAUAUCAGGAGGAACUCCAAUGGCGAAGGCAGGUUACUGGGCCUUAUCUGACGCUGAGGCGCGAAAGCGUGGGUAGCAAACAGGAUUAGAUACCCUGGUAGUCCACGCCCUAAACGAUGGAUGCUAGACGUAAGAGGUAUCGACCCCUCUUGUGUCGCAGCUAACGCAUUAAGCAUCCCGCCUGGGGAGUACGGCCGCAAGGUUGAAACUCAAAGGAAUUGACGG